rnacentral:rRNA from 1 species
AGAGUUUGAUCAUGGCUCAGAGUGAACGCUGGCGGCAGGCCUAAUACAUGCAAGUCGAACGGCAGCACAGCAGAGCUUGCUCUGUGGGUGGCGAGUGGCGGACGGGUGAGGAAUACGUGGGAAUCUGCCCAGUCGUGGGGGAUAACGUAGGGGAACUUACGCUAAUACCGCAUGCGCCCUUCGGGGAAAGCCGGGGACCUUCGGGCCUGGCGCGAUUGGAUGAGCCCACGUCGGAUUAGCUAGUUGGCGGGUAAAGGCCCACCAAGGCGACGAUCCGUAGCUGGUCUGAGAGGAUGAUCAGCCACACUGGAACUGAGACACGGUCCAGACUCCUACGGGAGGCGGCAGUAGGGAAUAUUGGACAAUGGGCGCAAGCCUGAUCCAGCCAUGCCGCGUGAGUAAAGAAGGCCCUCGGGUUGUAAAGCUCUUUUGUCCGGAAAGAAAAGCGCCGGGUUAAUACCCUGGUGUCCUGACGGUACCGGAAGAAUAAGCACCGGCUAACUUCGUG